rnacentral:rRNA from 1 species
UACGGGGGGAGCAAGCGUUGUUCGGAUUUACUGGGCGUAAAGGGCGGGUAGGCGGCCACCGCAAGUCAGUUGUGAAAUCUCUGGGCUUAACCCAGAAAGGUCAACUGAUACUGCGGGGCUAGAGUGCAGAAGGGGCAACUGGAAUUCUCGGUGUAGCGGUGAAAUGCGUAGAUAUCGAGAGGAACACCUGCGGCGAAGGCGGGUUGCUGGGCUGACACUGACGUGAGGCGCGAAAGCUAGGGGAGCGAACGGG